CGUGAUGCGUAGACCCAAUGGGGUUGAUGGUGGUGAUCCUGUACUGUCGAGAAAAGCCUCUAGCGAUGUGUGUGUAUGGCCCGUACCCUAAACCGACACAGGUAGUCAGGUUGAAAAUACUAAGGCGUUCGGGUGAACUGUGGUUAAGGAAUUCGGCAAAAUGCCCCCGUAACUUCGGGAGAAGGGGGGCCUCACGACGU
rnacentral:rRNA from 1 species